UAGAUUUUACAAAAAAUAAUAAAACUUUGUUCACCUUCUCUUUAAUCAAUUUCUCUUAUAUCUCUCUCACCUUCAACUCUUCGAAAACCCUAGUUAACGUACUUUAUUUUUGCGAGUUUCUCACUGUUCACAUGAAUCUCCACGUGGUGUCAGAGCACUAGACUAUCAUUGCUUCUCCUGGAAAGGAGUUUAUAGUAAGUGAGUGGGCUUUGCGGUGUGAAAGGUUUUUGCUCUCUUGGUUCUGAAGAUGCUUGCUUGUGGGUUUCCCAUUUGUGUUGAUCCAUGUUGAAGAGCUUUUCUCAAUCCUGUUUUUGUUGCUCCUAUGAUGGCUGGUUUCUGUGGUCUGCGGCUCAGGUUCUGCUUGCUCUGGUGAGCUGAUUGUGCUUCUGGUGUGGUGCUGUUGCCUUCAACAUCAUUGUGCUCCGGUAAGAAAUUGUGUGGUUGCCUAUGUCUGCUGUUGCUCACUGGUUCAGGUUGAUGCACAAGCAGGGGUGAAGUUUUGGAGGUUUCAGGUGGUCUUUUGUUUAUUGUUCCAUCUGGGGUGCUGAAUGCAGUCUGCUGUUUUGCUUCUAAAUGAUUCUCUUGGCUGUGUGGACGGGCUGUUUCCUCCCUGUCUGUCGCUCAUACUUGCUCCAGUUGCUGCUGUGAGGCUUCCCUGUGCUCUGCUUGCUGGAGUCUGAAAAAGCAGUGUAAUUUACAGUGAACAGCCAUUGAGUCUUUUAUUGUGUAAACCUAUAUUGUUGGGUGGGUAAUUCUGUUGCUUAUUUGUGUCUGUAGCACUUGGUUUGGACUAGGGACAUUUGUAGUGAGGCUUAGAUGUUCUUUACUCAAAUUCUGUUAAAAGUCUAGACGUGUUUCGAGCUGUGUUUCAAUGUUUGUGGUAGUCUUACUAACCUCUGUUUCUUGAGGUUGAGCUUAAGUUGUUUGGCCUUUGGGUUUGUGGUUUGUGUAAUGCAUAUAUUUAUUAAAACA